GCGUUCCAUUAGGUAGUUGGUGAGGUAACGGCUCACCAAGCCGACGAUGGAUAGGGGAACUGAGAGGUUGGUCCCCCACACUGGUACUGAGACACGGACCAGACUCCUACGGGAGGCAGCAGUGAGGAAUAUUGGUCAAUGGGCGGGAGCCUGAACCAGCCAAGUCGCGUGAAGGAAGAAGGAUCUAUGGUUCGUAAACUUCUUUUGCAGGGGAAUAAAGUGCAGGACGUGUCCUGUUUUGUAUGUACCCUGAGAAUAAGGAUCGGCUAACUCCGUGCCAGCAGCCGCGGUAAUACGGAGGAUCCGAGCGUUAUCCGGAUUUAUUGGGUUUAAAGGGUGCGUAGGUGGUUUGAUAAGUCAGCGGUGAAAGUUUGCAGCUUAACUGUAAAAAUGCCGUUGAAACUGUCGGACUUGAGUGUAAAUGAGGUAGGCGGAAUGCGUGGUGUAGCGGUGAAAUGCAUAGAUAUCACGCAGAACUCCGAUUGCGAAGGCAGCUUACUAAGCUACAACUGACACUGAAGCACGAAAGCGUGGGGAUCAAACAGGAUUAGAUACCCUGGUAGUCCACGCAGUAAACGAUGAUUACUAGCUGUUUGCGAUACACAGUAAGCGGCACAGCGAAAGCGUUAA
rnacentral:rRNA from 1 species